AUUCUACAGAGGUUGCAGCCCUCCUUGUCUCUGCCCAGCAUCCUCACUGGCCAAGCUCUCUAUGGAGUCACUCAGGCUGUCCAGGCUGUUAUAGGAGCUUCCAUUAAGGGUUGGCUGAAUGGAUGGAUGCUGGUGAUCCCAGAGCUCUGUGGAGGCUUCUCUCAUCCCCAGUGGUGCUGCCUCACAAGCCUUUGUCACAAGGGAUUAAGGAAGGUCAUGGAAAUGUUCACCAGAUCACAACAGGCACAUGUAUCUUCUCUCAAUUAUUACCUUACACAGAUUUCUCCGAAAGCCCUCAGUGCAUUUCAACUCUUCAAGGACAAUCAUUGUGUGCAUGCAGGGUCCUGUCACAGCAGUGGUCACCAGUUGU